UGUCCACUUUGAUGAAAACAACAACAACAAAAACCCUGCAAAUCCACAGUGUAGUCAGCUCUGUUCCUAGGAGACUCAGGCUUCCCAUUCUAACGUGAAUACUUCAGGCUGGAGACAGUGAGGACUGCUAAGCACUCCAUGCCUGUUCCAGCCAGGAGGUGAACUCGUUCCACAGCCACUACAAGCUCUACCACGCCAGCGCUCCUCCUCACC